UACAGAGGUCCCAAGCGUUGUUCGGAUUCACUGGGCGUAAAGGGUGCGUAGGCGGCCAAGUAAGUUUGAUGUGAAAUCCCGCAGCUCAACUGCGGAACUGCAUUGAAUACUAUUUGGCUCGAGGAAUGGAGGGGAGACUGGAAUUCUCGGUGUAGCAGUGAAAUGCGUAGAUAUCGAGAGGAACACCAGUGGCGAAGGCGAGUCCCUGGACAACUUCUGACGCUGAGGCACGAAAGCUAGGGGAGCAAACAGG
rnacentral:rRNA from 1 species